AUUGACAACAAGGUUUAACACAACCAUACAGAUUAAUCCACCUUAUCUACAAUGUCUGCAACUACGUAAAUGGAUCAUAGAAAAUAAAGAAAUGCUUGCUUCUUUCAUUCUGAAGAGCACAUCUGCAUCCAGAUCUCUAAUCUUUGUUCCAGUGGAUGAAGAAAUAGUGCCAAUUGCAAAUGUUCAAUCACAGCAGGACGCCAGUAUAAUUUUUAUUUACAUAUUUCAUAAUUUGAUUUAAGUAUUUGUCCUUAUAACAAUUACUCUCACUUUUCUAA